AUUGAACGCUGGCGGCAGGCUUAACACAUGCAAGUCGAGCGGAGAUGAGGUGCUUGCACCUUAUCUUAGCGGCGGACGGGUGAGUAAUGCUUAGGAAUCUGCCUAUUAGUGGGGGACAACAUUCCGAAAGGAAUGCUAAUACCGCAUACGCCCUACGGGGGAAAGCAGGGGAUCUUCGGACCUUGCGCUAAUAGAUGAGCCUAAGUCGGAUUAGCUAGUUGGUGGGGUAAAGGCCUACCAAGGCGACGAUCUGUAGCGGGUCUGAGAGGAUGAUCCGCCACACUGGGACUGAGACACGGCCCAGACUCCUACGGGAGGCAGCAGUGGGGAAUAUUGGACAAUGGGGGGAACCCUGAUCCAGCCAUGCCGCGUGUGUGAAGAAGGCCUUUUGGUUGUAAAGCACUUUAAGCGAGGAGGAGGCUCUCUUAGUUAAUACCUAGUAAGAGUGGACGUUACUCGCAGAAUAAGCACCGGCUAACUCUGUGCCAGCCGCCGCAGUAAAAC
rnacentral:rRNA from 1 species